UCCGCCAUAGCUCAGGUGGUAGUAGCGCAUGACUGUUAAUCAUGAUGUCGUAGGUUCGAGUCCUACUGGCGGAG
rnacentral:tRNA from 1 species